rnacentral:tRNA from 13 species
GCCGAUGUGACUCAGUGGUAGAGCAGCUGAUUAGUAAUCAGCAGGCGACGGGUUCAAAUCCCGUCAUCGGCU